GUCUAGUUAGCAUCUCUCCCAGCUUUCCAGCCUUUGUUAUCCUGCCUGCCUGAAGCCCUGCUGCCUGAUGUUGUCGGAUUUCGGGGCGUAAAACCAGUGACGUUUAAGAGACGCUCCACAAAAGAAUGGCCCGGUUGGUUCAGCCCAUGUUUGAGAGGGACUCAACCUGAAAAUGCACAACUGAGUUGAAGGACAUUGUUCUCAGGAGGUUCAGCGGCAUCACUCGCCGCCUGCAACUCUUCUAAAAAUGCAUGAUGGGAAAUGCAAUGAGCUGCUUGUCAGGGAAGAGACAAUUCACGGGAGAGGGCCCGCGAAAGCUGUAUACAUUCCCAAUUUACUCCCAUCUCUGCGGUUUUUAAGGCGGAACCAAUCUGUGUGCGAUAAGGAGCUCACACUGAUCGGGCUGCAUCGUCACAUCGGACCAGAACGUGAAAAUAUCUCCCAUUAGGAUCUGAAAACAACAAGGAGAAGCCAGAAAACCGAAGAGAACACAGGAGAUGUACAAGAUACACUGUGGGGAGUGAUAACAUCUAUGUCUGCUUUGAGCUGUGAAGGCACCUUACUCACGUCUAACUGUCAACACUUUGCUUUUUCAACUUGAAUUUUGAAAAAAUUAAUCAUAAAUUAGUGUAUAAAAGUCAUGUUUUCCAUAAAAAUGCACUGCUGUGGUUUAAUUGAACACGUGAAUUGUAUGUAUAUGUAUUCAAACAAUCAUGUUUUCUCUUUAUGGUUCACUUCCACAUAUGUUUACAUUGCUGACCCUUAUUUGACAUUUUCUUUGAUAUGAUCAAACAGAGCAGCUUCCUCCUUCCCACUCUCCUUCUCCAUUAUGGAAAAAAUUAUUAACAUCUGCUGCACAGACAUCAGGAGAAGUCAUGCAUGCCUUAAUGGCCCCUUGUUUAGUCAUUUAUGGGUAAGCAUGUCAUUAUUUCAGGAUUUAUGAUCAACCAGAUAGAGAAUGCAUUCUCCCGGAGUUUCACCUAGCAAUUAUUUAUUUUGAUUUUUAUGGCAACAAAGUUUCCUAUCCUCCCUCACUAUCCAAUUAAUGCUGAUGAUCAAGCAUGUCUUAGUGCUUUGGAUGCUUCAGCUUUUUGUUUUUAUCUGCGUUUAUGUCCUUUUGAUGGAAUGUAAAACAUUUUGUGAUGAGCCUGUUUUGGAAAAAAAAGCAGUGCAUUAAUAAGAUUGGAGUGAAAUGUACAGUAUAUCCAAGGACAGCCAAAGAAUUUAAAGUACGUCUGUGAAUAGCAGAACAUCAAACCAGGUUUUUGAUAUCUGUAUAUGUCAAGAUGUUUGAUUACAUGCUUAAUGCUUUAUUU